rnacentral:lncRNA from 1 species
AGUAAUCCUGCAUAAUCCUACCGGGUCAACCAGUGGGCUAAACAUGUAAAUCAGGGUUUUGAGAAGCUGACAUGCAUGUUUAUCUAAUAAUCAUCAUGGUAUAAUAUGUAUGCAAUUUAAACAAAGCAGUAGUGCAAAUCACAAAAUUUUCAUAAUAUAUGCAUAUGAAACCGUGCCCCCGGCAUGCCGUGGUCCAUUCUCUCGGAUGCUACUGCGAAGUCAGACUCGACCACUGGCGGGG